rnacentral:rRNA from 1 species
CAGCAGCCGCGGUAAUACAGAGGGUGCGAGCGUUAAUCGGAAUUACUGGGCGUAAAGCGCACGCAGGCGGUCUGUCAAGUCAGAUGUGAAAUCCCCGGGCUUAACCUGGGAACUGCAUUUGAAACUGGCAGGCUAGAGUCUUGUAGAGGGGGGUAGAAUUCCAGGUGUAGCGGUGAAAUGCGUAGAGAUCUGGAGGAAUACCGGUGGCGAAGGCGGCCCCCUGGACAAAGACUGACGCUCAGGUGCGAAAGCGUGGGGAGCAAACAGGAUUAGAUACCCCUGUAGUCCCUGUCUCUUAUAC